rnacentral:precursor_RNA from 15 species
AUCAUAAGAAUUGGCCACAUUCAUGCUGAGCUCUCAAAGAGGCUGUGAAAUGCAUUUUGAAAGCUUUGCGAGCAUAUCACAGCCAGCUUUGAUGAGCUUAGCGUAAUGUAACGUACAUCAAUCAAUCA